rnacentral:rRNA from 1 species
GACGAACGCUGGCGGCGUGCUUAACACAUGCAAGUCGAACGGAAAGGCCCUGCUUUUGUGGGGUGCUCGAGUGGCGAACGGGUGAGUAACACGUGAGUAACCUGCCCUUGACUUUGGGAUAACUUCAGGAAACUGGGGCUAAUACCGGAUAGGAGCUCCUGCUGCAUGGUGGGGGUUGGAAAGUUUCGGCGGUUGGGGAUGGACUCGCGGCUUAUCAGCUUGUUGGUGGGGUAGUGGCUUACCAAGGCUUUGACGGGUAGCCGGCCUGAGAGGGUGACCGGCCACAUUGGGAGUGAGAUACGGCCCAGACUCCUACGGGAGGCAGCGGUGGGGAAUAUUGCACACUGGGCGGAAGCCUGAUGCAGCACCGCCGGGUGCGGGAUGACGGCCUUCGGGUUGUAAACCGCUUUCGCCUGUGCCGAAGCGUGAGUGACGGUAAUGGGUAAAGAAGCACCGGCUAACUACGUG